GAUGAACGCUGGCGGCGUGCCUAAUACAUGCAAGUCGAGCGAACAGACGAGGAGCUUGCUCCUCUGACGUUAGCGGCGGACGGGUGAGUAACACGUGGAUAACCUACCUAUAAGACUGGGAUAACUUCGGGAAACCGGAGCUAAUACCGGAUAACAUGUUGAACCGCAUGGUUUAACAGUGAAAGACGGUCUUGCUGUCACUUAUAGAUGGAUCCGCGCCGCAUUAGCUAGUUGGUAAGGUAACGGCUUACCAAGGCAACGAUGCGCAGCCGACCUGAGAGGGUGAUCGGCCACACUGGAACUGAGACACGGUCCAGACUCCUACGGGAGGCAGCAGUAGGGAAUCUUCCGCAAUGGGCGAAAGCCUGACGGAGCAACGCCGCGUGAGUGAAGAAGGCCUUCGGAUCGUAAAACUCUGUUAUUAGGGAAGAACAAAUGUGUAAGUAACUAUGCACGUCUUGACGGUACCUAAUCAGAAAGCCACGGCUAACUACGUG
rnacentral:rRNA from 1 species